rnacentral:rRNA from 1 species
AUUGAACGCUGGCGGCAGGCCUAACACAUGCAAGUCGAACGGUAACAGGAAGAAGCUUGCUUCUUUGCUGACGAGUGGCGGACGGGUGAGUAAUGUCUGGGAAACUGCCUGAUGGAGGGGGAUAACUACUGGAAACGGUAGCUAAUACCGCAUAACGUCGCAAGACCAAAGAGGGGGACCUUCGGGCCUCUUGCCAUCGGAUGUGCCCAGAUGGGAUUAGCUAGUAGGUGGGGUAACGGCUCACCCAGGCGACGAUCCCUAGCUGGUCUGAGAGGAUGACCAGCCACACUGGAACUGAGACACGGUCCAGACUCCUACGGGAGGCAGCAGUGGGGAAUAUUGCACAAUGGGCGCAAGCCUGAUGCAGCCAUGCCGCGUGUAUGAAGAAGGCCUUCGGGUUGUAAAGUACUUUCAGCGGGGAGGAAGGGAGUAAAGUUAAUACCUUUACUCAUUGACGUUACCCGCAGAAGAAGCACCGGCUAACUCCGUG